CCUACGGGGGACAGCAGUGGGGAAUAUUGCGCAAUGGGCGAAAGCCUGACGCAGCGACGCCGCGUGAGGGAUGAAGGUCUUCGGAUUGUAAACCUCUGUCAGCAGGGAAGAACGGUCACUGUGCUAAUCAGCAGUGAAUUGACGGUACCUGCAAAGGAAGCACCGGCUAACUCCGUGCCAGCAGCCGCGGUAAUACGGAGGGUGCGAGCGUUAAUCGGAAUUACUGGGCGUAAAGCGCUCGUAGGCGGUAUGUCAAGUCAAGGGUGAAAUCCCCGCGCUCAACGUGGGAACUGCCUUUGAAACUGGCAGACUGGAGUGUGUGAGAGGAUAGUGGAAUUCCAGGUGUAGGAGUGAAAUCCGUAGAUAUCUGGAGGAACAUCAGUGGCGAAGGCGACUAUCUGGCACAUAACUGACGCUGAGGAGCGAAAGCGUGGGUAGCAAACAGGAUUAGAUACCCGAGUAGUC
rnacentral:rRNA from 1 species